rnacentral:piRNA from 1 species
CAGUGUAAGGAAGGUAAAUGCAACAGG